rnacentral:rRNA from 1 species
CAGCCGCCGCGGGAAUACGGAGGGCGCGAGCGUUACCCGGAUUUACUGGGCGUAAAGGGCGUGUAGGCGGCCUGGGGCGUCCCAUGUGAAAGGCCACGGCUCAACCGUGGAGGAGCGUGGGAUACGCUCAGGCUAGAGGGUGGGAGAGGGUGGUGGUAUUCCCGGAGUAGCGGUGAAAUGCGCAGAUACCGGGAGGAACGCCGAUGGCGAAGGCAGCCACCUGGUCCACUUCUGACGCUGAGGCGCGAAAGCGUGGGGAGCAAACCGGAUUAGAUACCCGGGUAGUCCCUGUCUCUUAUAC